CCUACGGGAGGCAGCAGUGAGGAAUAUUGGUCAAUGGGCGCGAGCCUGAACCAGCCAAGUCGCGUGAGGGAAGACGGCCCUACGGGUUGUAAACCUCUUUUGCCGGGGAGCAACGGGCGCCACGUGUUGAGCCACUGAGAGUACCCGGAGAAAAAGCAUCGGCAAACUCGGUGCCAGCAGCCGCGGUAAUACGGAGGAUGCGAGCGUUAUCCGGAUUUGUUGGGUGUAAAGGGUGCGUAGGCGGAGCGUUAAGUCAGUGGUCAAAUUGCGGGGCUCAACCCCUUCCCGCCAUUGAAACUGGCGCUCUUGAGUGGAAGAGAAGUAUGCGGAAUGCGUGGUGUAGCGGUGAAAUGCAUAGAUAUCACGCAGAACCCCGAUUGCGAAGGCAGCAUGCCGGCUUCCGACUGACGCUGAAGCACGAAAGCGUGGGGAUCGAACAGGAUUAGAUACCCGAGUAGUC
rnacentral:rRNA from 1 species